UGGGGAAUUUUGCGCAAUGGGCGAAAGCCUGACGCAGCAACGCCGCGUGGGUGAUGAAGGUCUUCGGAUCGUAAAACCCUGUCGUCAGGGACGAAGGUUGCGUGUCGAAUAGAUGCGUAACUUGACGGUACCUGGAGAGGAAGCCCCGGCUAACUCUGUGCCAGCAGCCGCGGUAAUACAGAGGGGGCAAGCGUUAUUCGGAAUUAUUGGGCGUAAAGGGCGCGUAGGCGGUGCCUUAAGUGAGAUGUGUAAUCCCCGAGCUUAACUUGGGAACUGCAUCUCAGACUGGGGCGCUAGAGUACUGGAGAGGGUGGUAGAAUUCCACGUGUAGCGGUGAAAUGCGUAGAGAUGUGGAGGAAUACCGGUGGCGAAGGCGGCCACCUGGACAGUAACUGACGCUGAGGCGCGAAAGUGUGGGUAGCAAACAGG
rnacentral:rRNA from 1 species